CAAGUCAAAUUCCCAAAUAAAGGUAACCCUCUGGGCGUUGCAAUUGCCUGCAGAAUAACCCAAAACCUCUUCUUUUCUCCAGUUCUCUUAAAAGUCAAGGAGGUUGGUAGGACACGAACCUUUAUCCCCCUGGGCCCAUGAGCAUUCACAACAUACGUGCCUGGAGCUCCAACGUUUGUAACAAUGCGAGUAACAUUUAUAGGCUUUGAGGCAGGAUGAUGCACCGUAAUAGAAGGAUAAUUCAGAUCCUCGAUUCUGUAAGACUCGGGACAUUUGUAAGAGAUUUUAUAAUUGGAAAACAAUGUGAGUAGAGCUUGAUUGUAACCAGAAGCACAUAAGAAGUUCAAGUAAUCAGUUGUGUUUAGAUCAUAAACGAGUCCAGGGUCUAUUGCAAGGUUAGGCCGAACAAGUCCAGCUCCGUACUCGAAUGGAGUUGCUACCUUAUCAAAUGCAUCCCGGAUUGGUUUAUUCGUGUUAUCUAGAGUGGUAGCUGAAAUAAAUCAAGAACAUAGUUGUUGAUAAGACACCAUGAUAACAUGUUGCGCUUGAACAUUUUGUAUUUUAUGAAUACGAGAAAACAUUUUGUUAAGCAUGCAUGGUGUACCUGUAGUCAUAAUAGCAGAUUUGAUAGCUGCGGGACUCCAGGUUGGGUGGUACGUUUUGAGAAGACCUGCAAUGCCAGCAACAUGAGGACAGGCCAUAGAGGUUCCUUGUUGCACAUUGAAAAGAGUCCUUCGUGUAUCUGAUGGCAGAUUAGAAGGACCCGCGGCUUGUGAAAAGGCAGCAAUUAUACCCACACCCGGACCAGUUAUGUCAGGCUGAAACACAUUAACAAACAAAUUACCUUACAAAUCAAAAAUCACGUAUCUUCCAAUGUUUCUAUAACAAAAUGUAAAUAUAAAUUAUAGACCUUUAGUAUCAACGGUUGCAACAGAUUAGGACCCCUAGAUGAGAAUCCAGCCAUGAUUGGAGCUGGCUUUACAUUUAGAUAUGUUUUAGCAGCACUCAAGUAGGCAAAAAUCCUGGAACACAUUUAUAAAUUCAUGGAGUACUUCCCUAUCACACACACAGAAAUAAUACGAGGUAAUAAUAUAUGACUUUACCCGCCACCGCCGCUGGUAACAUUGGCAAAAUUAGUAUCCGUUCCACUUAUACUUGCAGCAGGUAAAACUUGAUUUUCGGCCAGAAGUAAAUUUCCACUUUGCUUGUCAUUCUGCACAAAAACUGCCACAGCACCGGCAAGUUUACCCUGUUCACCCUCUUUAACUGAUUGUAAUUUAUCACUUCGAAGGCAGAUAAGUAUUUUCCCUCUUACUUUGGCAGGAUCAAGUGUUCCUGGUUUGCAAAUACGCCUGCACCAACAUACACAUGUAUAAGUGUUUGAAGUAAUGCUGGGAAGUAAAUGUAAAAAUAAAAAUAAAAAUAGAGCUUACGCAUCAUUAACUGAAGCAUUACAAAGUUUUGCGUUGACAGAAGAUAUAACGGGAUAGAACUUUCGCUUGUGUCGUGGCAAUCCUCGAUUGAAACUGGCACCCUGAUACAAGUGCAGUCAAAUUAAGUUUACAAAACAAAAGUACACAUGCAUGUUGAGAUAGGAUAGAAAGAUGAUACCUGAAGGUGUUUUUUCUUGCCAAGAGAAAUGGUGCUGAGGAAAUCCCUAUCCAUGGUGCUGGCAGCAACAGUGAAAGACCAAGGUGCAACGUUUGUGACGGAUGAACGUGAGGGGCCAUCAUUUCCAGCAGAGCAAACAACGACAAUAUUUUUGGCAACUGCAUGGAAUGAUCCAAUGGAAACACCAUCCGUUAACAGAGCUUCCUUGUAGGGAUAGGACCAACCAACAGAGGCGGAGAUGACAUCAACGCCAUCAUAAAUUGCAUGAUCAAAUGCUGCCAGUAAAUCUGCUUCGUGGCACCCUCCUGUGUCCAGUUUAUUCCAACAUGCUUUGUAGGCCACAAGGCGAGCUUUUGGGGACCCUCCCUUAGCAGUGCCUCUGCCCUUACGUUCUACAUUCGCACCAGGAACAAAAUUACCACCUGCGGUUGAUAAAGUGUGGCUGCCAUGCCCUACGAAGUCACGUGCGCUGCGGAACGUUCUCUCAAUCUCCCCACCUUCCGCCUCGCGAUUCUUCAGGAAUACUCUUGCUCCAAUCAGCUUCCUGAAUCUUCUACUACGUUAGCUUCUACCAUGUUAUCCAUUCCAUAUUAACAUUUUCCAAUGAUAAACAUUUCAGUUAUAAUGUACCAAUUUCACGGGUAAAGUAAUCUUUCACUUUAUGAUGACUGAAAUAAAAAUGUAAAUGUUGAAAUAAGAAAUAAAAAAUGACCUGUUACAGAAAUAUUUUUGUGUAGUGUUAAAACUGUCAAUUUCACAAACACCUUUCCCACGCCACUUUGAAGGCACUGCCCCGUAUCCUCUGUCGUUAAAACUCGGGUGUUCCGGCCAAACUCCUGCUCAACAGUAAAUGAAUUAGCAUGAAAAUCUAUAGAAUAAGGGGUUCUCUAUAUAUCACUCAAAAUAUGGAUACAAAUUCGAAUUUCAAUGGCAAAGUAUCAGGAAAAUUAUUUAUCCAUUAACUAUUAAUAAAACUUAAUAUUUUGAGUUGACAGUAAUAAGUUCUCAUUGAGUAUGACUCGUUGGUAUUACAAAUAUUAAUAUAAAUUUAUUAAUCAAAGAGGAUUCAAAAUAAUUAUUUUAAGCAUUUUGUGAUUCUCUUAUAAUUUUUAUUAGUUUAAGUCUUGAAAUCUAUGUACUUUUUCUUCCUAUUAUACUUUGUUCAUUAUAUUGAUAUACACUUUUAAUGGAAUAUUUGUUCUUGGAAUUUGGUUUACUUUAAUUUAAUAAAACAUCAUUUUAAGUAACCAAUUAUGAGUAAGUAAUGUGGUUAAAACCACUUUUUAUCCAUUAUAAUGGUAAUGAUGAGAACAAUUAUGAAAUUUUGUCUCUUGUAGUUAGGGUGACAAAACCUAGUCUCACAUUCGCUUGUAAAAAUGGGAUUGGAUUGAGAUGAUUUGAUAAUUGAAAACGAGUUGAAUUUUAUAAUCUGAUUUAGUUGUUGGAUUGUCGGGAUGUCGAGUUGGUUUGGUUGUUUUUUUUUUUGUUUUUUUUUGUCAUUGAAAAUAAAAUAUCACAUGAAAGUAGAUUGAAAUUUUUUAUUUUUUACAUAAAAAUGUGUUGAUGACGGGUUGUUGUUUAGAACAUUUCAAAUUUAGAUCAAGUUGUAUCAUAUCUUGAUCGAGCUCUUGACUACUCUAUAUCAAACCUCAAUCAAGUUUUAUGAUACUUAAACUGAAAUGUCAUGCUGACCCGAUUGACCCACAUAAUUAGUCUAUUGGAUUGUUGGGUUUGGUAGGCCAAGUUGAUUUAGACUCACAAGUUAAAAAUAUUAUCCAAACCUGUCUUUGUUAAUCAGACUAAGAAGUUGGUAUGCUAAACUUGAUCUUUUUUUCAUCCUUACUUAUAGUUUAAUAAUUUAUAAAUUAAAUUUUUCUUUAAGAUUCAAGUAGCAUCAAUUAAGUAACCUUAAUUUUUCUUCUCCUUAUUUAAUCACAUAAUUUCUCAUGGAUAAUAAAUAUAUUUUUAUUAGAAUAAAAUGUAAUUAAAGUAUAACUCUUAGCGAUAUUUUUUAAUAUCUACCCAUGUGCAUGUGAGCGUCAUCUCUGAUAUUUUUUAUGCUUUAAUAUGACUCUAUCUUGAAUUUUUUUUUUUCAAACUCAUCAAUUUUUGUUUCAUAGAUUCCUUACAAAAUUACUUUGUAUAUUGAAACAAGAUUAUUUAAUCUACAUAGGAGAAUGAAAAUAGUUAACAUCAAGCAUAUAUUAGAGAGGCACAGCUACAUAUAUUUGAUUAAAUUCCAACGUUAUCAAUUUUUAUUUUUAAUAUAUAGAUAGAUAGAUAGAUAGAAUUUUUAAAAUAUUUAAUUAUUUAUGUUAUAAAUAUUCACAAAGAAAUUUAUUCAAACAUUUUUUUUAUAUUGAAGUAAAAUAUUAGUUAUAUAUUUGGAUAUAGUUUAAAACACAUUCUUUCAUAACCUCUCAAUCAUAAAAUUAUAAAAAUGAUUUUUAAGUAAUUUAAAAUGUUUUUUUUAUAAUAUCCCAGAAUAUUAUUAGGUAGUGAUAAACAGAUUAUGUAAAUAUAAUAUAAAAUUAAAAAAAGAAUCUUAAUUUUUGAUCGACUUUUCUAACUAUUAAAAUAUAAAUUUUAUAAGAUGUUUUCAAUAGAGGAAAAAUUGUAAUGAUAUUUUGAAAAUAAUAUGAUAUAGGAAAAUUAUGUUUUGAUAAUUGAGAUCAUUUUACAAUAAGAGAUGAUCUUUUAAUAAAAAAAAAAAUUGUAUCACAAUGCAUAGAAGUGAGGAAAACAUACUAUCUUUUUUCAAAUAAAAACUUAAAAUGAUUUUUGUGUCAAAAUAUGAUGAUAUAAUCGUUAUUUUAUGAAAUUUGAUCCGCGAUCACCUUAGUAGAUUUAAUAAGUUAUGAAUAAAGAACAAGUAAACCUGUAUCAAUAUUAGCUAUGAUUGUGUUUUCGCCAUAUCUUGCUUUGGUCCAAGCAGAGUCUGCAGGAACUUUUCCAUCCUUUUGUUCCAGUCCCAGAAAAUGCCAUGAUCUCGUAGUGUGUAAUUUGUGCUCUUUGCUCAAGAAAACAGAAACUACCUCUGGGUACUCUGUUUCAGACCAAAAUUAUGUGGCUUCAAUAUAUGUACGAAACGAGAAAGAUGCUGACAAUCACAUAAACAAUAUCUUCUUACCUGCAAUUUCUGCUGCUUCUUCCUCUUCAAGCAAGGCCGCGAAGCCAUUGAUAUGCUUGUUGUAAGAGUACAUAAUUGCUUCCUUUGCAUCCUCAUGACUGUUAAAGUAACAGACUUUAAUAAAUGACGAUGUCUCGAUAACAUUAAUUUAACAGAACAAAUGUGUUAGUUGUAUUACCUUCCUAAGACAGAAGCGAGUAAUUGAUGAUGGGAAUUUGUUGCUGUUUCAAGAUCAGUGGGAGAAGGGUCUGGACCAUGAGAGUGUCCUCCCAAGUACACAAUGUACGUCUGAAAACAGAGCACCCAUGAUCAAAUUUCUAUGUUACAUCUGUUCAAUAAAUUAACAGUGACAACAUGAAAUGCAAUGCAGAGGUUACUUGCCUUUCUAAGGGCAUUGGUGGGUUCCUGCAAGAAAGUGAAGAGAAGGAAUGAAGAGAGAAGAAGUUUGAAGAUGGAGAAUGUCAUCACUCUCAUGUAACUUCAGCUCUUGUUCAUGAGUGCUCUAUUCCACUCCUCUGCCUCUACUUAUAUUGGGAAAAGAAGUAUCAUUGUUUUUUCCAUUUCUGCUUCUAUUUUACUUUCAUCUUGCUUUUAACUUCAUUUGUUAGUGGAGACUUUUAAUAUGUUUAAAAUUUCUACUUUGAUGUUCAUUUUCUUUUCUAUGUCUAACUUUGGUUUCAAUAAAAAAUUUAAUUAUAUAUAUAUAUAUAUAUAUAUAUAUAUAUAUAUAUAUAUUGAUAACUUUUUGACAAGUAUACCAAAUCGUUACAAGUAAUACAGGGAUAAAGUCCAGUAUCGUUCUCCCAAAGGAAUUUGAGUUAAGUUGUUCAAUUUAACAGUAUUUAUCAAAAUCAAUUUGACAACAAAUUAUAAUCUGAUUCAGUGAACUGAAAGUAAGAAAUUAACAUAAUAUUAAAAUUUGAAAAUUAAAGAUGGAAGAAAGCUUAGUUGGAAUUGACUUCAUGGCUACUAGUAACUUUUCUGAACAAUAUAAUUUGCGUUCAAACAUUAACAUCACAGUAUCUUGGUUUAAUCCCUUAAAACAAGUUCUAAAGAAUUAUGCUCAAUUAUUAAUUUCUUAAGUAAUUAAACAUAACCUUUGCAUUAAGAUCUGAUGUUUAUAAAUGACCAGAAGAAUUGAAACCAUUCCUAGCAUCGUUCCUUCUGGUUGUUUUUCUUACCUUCAUACUCAAAUUUACUUCCCAGUACAAUUUGAAUAUAUUAAAUAUAUUAUACUUUCGUAUAAUCACAAGUAAAACAAGAAAAGCAUAUCAAUUCCAACGAACAGAAAUUUAGUCUAUCCUAGACAUCACAAACGUACUCAUUUCAGCAAUUCCUUGCAUCAUGUGCAGUCUUGAUGUCUUCAGAGAGUCUUCUGAUGGUCUUCUCUCCGUAUCCAGAGCAGUUCUGUAUUUUUUUUGAAUGUCAGAAGCUAUCCUCUGCCCUCUCUGUCACGUCCUUAAAGAGCAGUUAAUUAUUUUAAUUCGCUCAGCGCACAAGAGUGUAUUCGCUAUGCGAAUUAAUUUUAAUUAUACACUCAACUGCUGUAAUUCGCUAAGCGCACAGUCUCUGGCGCGCUAUGCGAAUUAAUUUUUCUGUUGCACUUCAACUUUGUCAUUCGCUCAGCGCACAAAUAUUGGUUCGCUGUGCGAAUUCCUUUUGCUGGCUCUGCGAAUUUGUUUGCGCUAUGCGAGAAUUGGCUGACAGCUUCCCCUUUAUAUAAUUUUUUCCUAAACAAAAAUUUACGUAAUAAUCUACUUCCUAUUACAACUUUUCACUGAGUAAAAACAUAAAUAAUUACAAGAUUGAGACAAUUUAUAAAUGUAAAAACAAUUGUUUUUCACACUUAUCAUAUAUAUAUAUAUAUAUAUAUAUAUAUAUAUAUAUAUAUAUAUAUAUAUAUAUAUAUAUAUAUAAUCUUAUAUUUAAAAACUUAUCAUAUUUAUAAUUUAUAUAUAUCAUUUCUGCUUCUAUUUUACCUGUAAUUAACUCUAAUGUCACAAGAUUAAUAUCAUAAACACUUUACUAUGUUUCUAUUUCUUAAAAACACAUGCAUAAUAUUAUGUAUAGAGAUUUAAAUUUAUUAUAUUACAUUCAUUAAGUUAUACUACAAUAAAAUUACAUAAUCGGAAUAAAGUUCACUUACCAGACCCCUUUUUUUGUUAGCAUCACAUACUUAUAAAAAAAAAACAUCUUUAACUUUUAUCACCUAAUAUGUCCAAUAUUAAUUGAGUGAAAACAUCUCAAUCUUAAUUUAAACAUCUUAAAAUAAUAUUUCAAUUCAUAUGAAUAACUUUUAAUUCAUCACAUAAAAGUGAUGAUAUAAAUAUAUAAAAAUCAACAUUCCAUUCAUGGCCAAAUUUAUUAAAGUGAUAAACUAACAAUUAGAAAAAGGUAGCAUGUAACAAAAUUUUGUUAGUUUGGAUGAAUAUUAAUUCUAUUGUUUGAAAGAAAAAAAAUGUUGUCGAUAAUAAGAUUAAAAUUAUAUUUUAUUUUCACUUAAAUAAAAAUUCUUUACUUAAAAAAAACGAGAUAUAGACCAAUUAUAUGUUCAAAUUUGUUUGAAAAAAAAAUCACAAAGUAUAAAAAAAAGAACAAAUAUUAAAAUUUACUUCGUCAUAUUUUCAGUUGAAUAAAAAUGUCACUUCAACAAAAUAUUAACAUAAUCAUCAAACAAAAUCAAUUAAGUUUUAAUUUCUUUACUCAAAAUUAAUAUAACAAUUUCCAACUUGUAAACAAUAUAACUAUGAUUUAUUCAAAAUAUAACUUGUACUUUUAUUAAAAUCAUAAAUCAAAACCUAUUAACUAUAUAAAGAAUAAUUAUUCUCAACAAAAUUCAUUAUUGAAAUUCAACAAUUUUCAUAACUUAACCUAUAAAGGUUUAAUCAUCAUUUUAAUAACUCGACAAUAAUAUUUGUAACAGCUUAAUUUUAACCGUUUACAACUAAUAAAAUAAUAUAUUAUAAAAUUAAUAAACAAAUUCUCUCAUCAUAUAAAUAUAUAAUCUUAAUAUAAUUAUAAAAAAAUAAUAGGUAAAAAUUAAAAAAUAAUAAUGAAGGAAUAAUUCUUUCUUUUUAUCAUGUUUUUUUUCAUUUCAUUUUAUUUGUUUUAUUUUAUUUAGUUUUAUGAUGUUUUAUUUUAUGUUAUUUGAUUUCAUUUUGUUUUAUUUUAUUCUAUUGUAUUUUUGUUUUGUUUUUGUAAUUAAUUUUAUUUUAUGUAGUUUUAUUUUUAUUUAUUUUGUUUUUGGUAUUUUUUAUUUUAUUUUAUCGAUUUGAUUUGAUUUAUUUUGGUUGUAUUUGAUUUGAAUUUAUUAUUUUGUUUUAUUUUUUUUAUCUUAGUUUUUUUAAUUGUGUGCUUCUUCUUUUUGAGAAAAGCCCCACGAGCUCCAGCAGUGCUUUUUCUUUCCUUCAUUCAGCCAUCACCAACUUUUUCACUAUUCUAAAUCAAAUUAUUCUCCUACUAAACAGAUUCCACCUCCCUCAAUAAUUCCAACUCACUUUCGUCUCCAGCUUGGGAUCACUAACCCAAAUUUCGUUAAUGUAAUUGCAACUACCAUAUUUGAAUAUGGGUUAAAAUGAAUUGCAUGUACCACGACGGAAAUAUAAUAUUCUGCAACUGCUUUCAUUCCCUUUAAAAACACCCAAAAGAAAAAGGAAGAGCAUUUUCAAAGCUCGAGGUACAUUUUGAAGCACUCGAAGACCAAUAAGUAGUAGAGACUUUAUCCAUCAUUCCCCCACCAAGUUAUCAAAUCGGAGAGAGACUCGAAUAAACUUGACUUAUAAACAUAGAUGAAAAAAUUAUAUAAAUAAUAUCUUAAUUCAAAUAAAUCUAUAAAAUUAUAUAAUUUUAAACAAAUAAAAUUUAUAGAUAUAUUAUUCAUAAAAAUAAAUAUUGUAAAAUAUAAGUACUUAGAUUAUUAUCAUUAAUUUUGAUACAUUUCAUUAAAUAUAUAAUAUAAAAAAAUUAUAGCAGUACCAUAGAGAGACAGAGAGACACCAUAUACAGUGACAGUUAGGUUAUGAAACUCUAAACUCCAAAUGACGUGUUUUUUUUUUAAUAUUUCUUUCUUUCAAGCUCACAUAAUAGCUCUAAACUUACAAUUCUACCAAAUUUAUGCAUAAAACGAGUUUACUUUUGAAUUAAUUCGAAAACCAUAUAUGAAAACAUAAACUCAUACAAAUUUACCAAUUAACUCGAAAAUUUGAUAAUGAUCCGAAAAACUCACCCAGUUAAUCUUUGCCUUCCUUUCAUCUACUCACCAAUCUUCAUAUAGUGCAAUCUACGUUUUUUCUUUCUUUCCUUUUCUACUUCUGUAUAUUCUUAAAGAUCUUGGCCUCUUUUCCCUCCAUGGCAUCCCUAAAAUCUGCAUUCAGCCUUGACUUACUUUUCUGGGACAUCCCUAUUUUUCAUUCCUGCAACCCUAUUAUCAGUUGUUUUAUCAGAUUGCACCCCAAUUCUUAUUCUCAUAUGACCUUAUUUGUUAGCUGCACCCCAAACACUCACUUUUUAAUAUAAAUAAAUAAAUAUUUAAUAAAAAAUCAUAAAAAUAAAAAAGUAUAAAAUUAUAAAACUAGAACAAUAAUUUUAAAGCUUGUAAUAGUAUUUUUUCAAAUAUUAUUUUUCUUAAAUAAAAAGGAUAAAUCAUAAAAUUAUAAAAAAUAUAUAGUUUAGUAUCUGUUAAUAAUCAAAUAUAGUUUUAAUAUUAUUUUCUAAAAUAAUUAUGUAAAUAUUCUCAUUUUACAAUUUCAUUUCAAAUAUUUAUGCAAAUAAUACCAUCCUUUUUAUUGUAAAUACUUAGAUAAAUAAUACCGUUCUUUUAUAUUAAAACCUUAUGUAAAUAUAAUUACUAUUUUUAUAAUUUAUUUUAAAUAUUUAUGUAAAUAUUAGUUUAGUAUUAUAAAAAUUACAAAAUGAAAGAUAAAAAGUAAAAAUUAUUAAAUAGAAAAAUAAAAUAUUAAAUAGUGGUAUGAUUAUUCGUGCAAUCGUAUGCAUUAGUCUAGUACUCAUUAUCCAAAAUAAUAAAAUAAUCAAAUAACCGUAUGAGUACUCGUGCGAUAGUGCUUACUACCCUCAAUUCUUCAAUUAUAUAAAAAAAAUACCAAAAAAUUACAAAGUAUCCAAAAAGCUAAAAAUAUCAAAAUUCUCAUAUAAAUAAUCUUUGUCAAAACUACGUGAUUCUUGAUUCUACAUCAAAAAUAGAGAUACGUAAGAGCAAGCUAGUCCUUGUCAGGUUUAUUCUCCUAAAAAUCCAAAUCAUUUCCCAAAAUUAUUUUCUAUGAAGAAUUUCAAUGAAGUUUAUCAAAAGAACUACGUACUCUUGAUUUCUCACAUAAGAAUACGUAAGAGCAAGGUUAAUCCUUGUCGAACUUCCUAAACAUAAAAAAUACCUUUUGUUUCUUUUGUAUUAUCUUGCAUUGUUAUUUUGAAGAAAAAUGACCAUUUUGAAAACCACAUCAACUUUGUACCGUUAAUUAAAGGUACUGUCGAAGGCAGACCUGUAAGGUGCUAAUACUUUCUUUACAUGUAACCGACUCCCAGAGUCAAAAUCUUGUUUCGCAGAGCAUGUCUUAUUUUAUGGUUUUUAUGUAACUUUCCAGAAUAAACUACGCUAGUGACUCCUAAACACUAAUUUUUAAAGUUUUAUUUAUUCUGAUAAAAGUUUCGUCGUCCCCAUCGUGGUUUCGGUUACGACACUUCGCAACAUUACUGUCCCCCACUAGAGAUGCUUCAAACCUAUCUCUCAUAUGCUCACACCAAUAAAGUGAUCAUCACAAAAAUAAACAAACAUGCACAUUUGUAUCUCACAAGUUAUCCCAGACAUAUGCAUCAUUUGUAUCUCAAUUAUCUUCAACUUCUAUUUCUAGUAAUAUACAAGAAGUUUUAGUAGAUCAUAGAUGGACCAGAACAAUGGUUGAUGAGAUGACAACUUUAGAAUAAAAUAAUACUAAUUGGGAUCUUGUGUCCUUACCAAGAAGGAAGCAAACUAUAGACUGUAAAUGGAUAUUUACAAUUAAGCAUAAAGCUUAUGGAACUAUUGAGAUGUAUAAAGCACGACUUGUGGAUAAAUGUUACACUCAAUCUCAUGGUGUAGAUUACCAAGAGACGUUUGCACGGUAGCCAAGCUCAACACUGUGAGAAUAUUUAUGUCGCUAGCAACAAACCAAGAUUGGCCUCUUCUAUAAUUUGAUAUGCAAAAUGCUUUCCUACAUGGAGAAAUUUCAGAAGAAAUUUAUAUAGAUUCUUACCAAGCAUGAUAGAUUCAAUUGGAAUGAAGGUUUACAAAUUAAAGAAGGCUCUAUAUGGAUUAAAACAAUCCCCAAGAGCAUGGUUUGAAAGGUUUACCAAGUCUAUGAAGACUUUUGACUAUAGAGCAAGUAACUCUAAUCACACCUUAUUUUUUAAGAGAGGAAAAGGAAAAAUUACAGUUUUGAUUAUAUAUUAGAUGACAUGAUUGUUACAGGAAAUGACUAAGAUGAGAUUUCUAGUUUAAAACAAUACCUUGCAUCUGAAUUUGAGAUGAAACAACUUGAAAACCUCAAACAUUUUUUAGGUAUUGAAGUAGCUAGAUCAAAACAUGGUAUUUUCUUAUGCCAAAGAAAAUAUAUUUUUUACUUACUAUCGGAAACUAGGCUGCUUUGGAGUAAACCAGUUUGAUACACUGAUUGAACAAAAUCAUAAUCCCUUUCAAUGCUUAAAGUCAGCAAGCAUAGACAGAGGGAGAUACCAAAGGCUGACAGGAAAAUUAAUUUAUUUGUCCCAUACAUGUCCAGAUAUUACCUAUGCAGUGAAUGUUGUUAGUCAAUUUAUUCAUAUGACCCACGAAAGCUUCAUAUGGAUGCUCUUGAGAGGAUUUUAAGAUAUUUGAAGUCCUUUCUUGGAAAAAGAAUUUUGUUCUCAAAUCAUGGAAACUUAAAGGUAAAAGGGUACACUGAUGCAAAUUGGGCAGUUUAAAAGAUGAUAUGGAUACUUUACUUUUGUAGGAAGAAAUCUUAUAAAUUGGAGGAGUAACAAGAUCUAGUGCUGAAGCAGAAUUCAAAGGUAUGACAAUAGGUGUAUGUGAACUUUUGUGGAUUAAAAAUGUGCUAUCAUAUUUGGGUUUUAAACCAAAUGAAACUAUGAGUUUGUACUGUGACAAUACAAUACAUCAACUAUAGCAAUUGCUCACAAUCUUGUGCAGCAUGAUAGAACAAAGCAUGUAGAGAUUGAUAGACAUUUCAUCAAAGAGAAGCUUGAAGCUUAAAUAAUUUAUUUUCCUUUUGUAAAUUCAAAAUUACAGUUGGUUGAUAUUCUCACCAAAGGAGUGUCAAGCAAGGUGUUUAAUAAUGAGUCUCUAUUCAAGUUGGGAAUGUAUGAUAUUCAUGCACCAACUUGAGUGGAGAUGUUAACAUAUGUCAAAUAUUCUAUUAGUAAAUAUUAGAUAAUCAAAUAUUGUGUUGGCUAUAAUUUAGACAUUAUUAUAAUUUGUGCAAAUUUGUGUAGAUGUCAUUCCUUUAAUAGAUAAAGAAUUAUAUAUAUAUAUAUAUAUAUAUAUAUAUAUAUAUAUAUAUAUAUAUACACACACACACACACACACUAGUGCAGAAAGGACUUUAGACGUCAGUUAUUUUGGGUUUUUAACGUCAUCUCCCGAACCGACGUCUUUACCGGUAACGUUAAUGGGACGUCGGAUUUCUGCAGGUGCGACGUCGAUAUAAACGUCGGUUUAGUUCAAAGAACGACGUCUAUAAAGACAUCAGACAUUGCACUAACCGACGUCUAAGGACACCUUAGACGUUAGUCAGUCACACGUUCGACGUCUAUAAAGUCGUCAAACAUUCCAUUAAUCGACGUUUAUGGGCAUUAUAGACGUCAGACAGUACAUUAACCGACGUCUAUGAAGUGUUCGUUGUGUUUUGGUGCGGUUUUUGUCGUGUCUUGGGGUAGCGUAGUAACACCUCCUUCCUUUGCUAGUUUUUUCGUAAGAAAAAGUUGCGUUUUUUUUAUUUCUUAUGGCAUUUCAACCUAAAGAUGAACUUGGGUCGUUUCCUAGGUCCAUUCCGACCGCCAAUGAAAAAGAAUACGGUCUUUCGUUGGCGGUCAAAAUGGACAUAAGCAACAACCCAAGUUCGUCUUUGGGUUGAAAUGUCAUAAGAAAUCCAAAAAACGCAAGUUUUCCUUACGAGGAAACUAGCAAAGGGAGAAGGUGCACUACGCUACCCAAAGACACAAUAAAAAACCGCACCAAAACACAACGAAAACUCAUUUUAAUCGGUUCAAAUGUGUUAUAAUACAUCAAAGAUUACUUUAAUCAGAGUAAAAACAACUUUAAAUGGUUAAAAGGAGAGAAAAACUUACCUAGAAAUGCAAUGCAGCGGAGAGAAAAGGCGCAGACGAUGAAAGUGUUGGUUCGCAAACCACUGGUUCAUAGGAUUAUUUAACAAGAAAUUCGACGUUAGUUGGAUACAAACCCGACGUCUAUAAUAGCAUAUACGUCGAUUGCCUGACUAAUAAGACGUCCAUUCGAUUUAAAAUUAAUAUUUGUAUUAUAUAUAGACGUCGGCUUGGCGGGAUGAGACGUCUAGUUGGCGGAAACGAAUGACUUUUCACAUACAUAGUAAGACUAUAGAUGUCGGUUACUGAGGCAACGGACGUCUAGAAUUGUAUAUAGACGUCAAUGUGGCGGGAUCCGACGUCUAUAACGCGGAAAAGAGUCACUAUUCACAUACCUGGUAGACAUAUACGCGUCAGUUAGAAGGACCCCGACGUCUAUAUGUCUGACAGGUAGAUGAGUAGCAUUAAUUUCCGCCAUAUAGAUGUUGGGGCCCGCUACGAACUGACAUCUAUAAUGCUGAAAGAAAUGACUUUUCACCUAACUAUCAGAAAUAUAGACGUCAAAUUGAAAAACCCGACGUCUAAAACACUAUAAAUGUCGGAGAUCCAUCUAACUAACGCCUAUAUUACCAACUUAUUUACGAAAAUGCCAUCGGUCAUCAAUAUACGUCGAGCUUACCCUUAACCGACGUUUAACGUGUGACAAUAAACAACGUUUUUACACUAAUAAUAUAUAUAUAUAUAUAUAUAUAUAUAUAAUAAUAUAAUAUAAUAUAGUACUCUUUAAAAUAAUAAAUAAGAAUUAUUCUUUAAACUUUUUUUUAAUUUUUCUAAAAAACUUCUGUCAUAUAUAUAUAAUAAUAUAAUAUAAUAUAAUAUUCUUUAAAAUAAUAAAUAAGAAUUAUUCUUUUAACUUUUUUUUAAUUUUUCUAAAAAACUUCUGUCACAUUAUCUCCAAUAACAAAAGAGUUACAUACUUUAUUCUUUGUUUUCUUAAAAACGUUUUUUACUGACGUUUAUGUCCUUUUUCUUAUAGGAAAAAAAUAUAUAUUGAAAAUAAAAAACAUGAGUAGAAACAAUACCAACAUGAAAUAUAAAAACAAAAAAUAAGAGAAAUAAGUGUUGAAGACAAUAAUAUAUUAAAGUGUAAAAUUAUUGAAUAUUAAUCUAGAAGAAUCUCAAAGGUAUCUAUUAUAAUAAUAAAGAAAAAUGAUUCUUUUUCACACACCUAAAUUUUUUACAUUUAUUUUAUUUACUUUUUAUCUUUUUUUUUUCUUAAAAAAAUAUAAAACUUUACACUGUGAAGAUCAAUUCAUCCUUCUAUUUUGUAUUAAAUAAAUGUAAAAUGUCAUAAUACUAUUACUCUUUAGAAAAAAAAAAAACCCAACACCGUGUAUUGAAAUUUCAAAGGUGCGGAUUCAAUACAUGUUUGUGCCAAUUACGAACUAGUUCAGAUGCAACAAAGUUCAAUACCACAACAGUCUAAACAUACCUUAGUUUUGUGACAAAGUUGAAUGCAACAGGAAUAGGAAACACACCUAAAAUACAACCUAUAAACAAUAGCAAACAUAAAUACAAACACAAAUGACAAAGAUGACAGUAAAUAAUAUGGUUACAACACUGUAAUAGGACUGGUUACAUUGUGUUUGCCAUCUGUCCAAAUCAAAUUCCCAAAUAAAGGUAACCCUCUGGGCGUUGCAAUUGCCUGCAGAAUAACCCAAAACCUCUUCUUUUCUCCAGUUCUCUUAAAAGUCAAGGAGGUUGGUAGGACACGAACCUUUAUCCCCUUGGGCCCAUGAGCAUUCACAACAUACGUGCCUGGAGGUCCAACGUUUGUAACAAUGCGAGUAACAUUUAUAGGCUUUGACGAAGGAUGAUGCACUGUAAUAGAAGGAUAAUUCAGAUCCUCGAUUCUGUAAGACUCGGGACAUUUGUAAGAGAUUUUAUAAUUGGAAAACAAUGUGAGUAGAGCUUGAUUGUAACCAGAAGCACAUAAGAAGUUCAAGUAAUCAGUUGUGUUUAGAUCAUAAACGAGUCCAGGGUCUAUUGCAAGGUUAGGCCGAACAAGUCCAGCUCCGUACUCGAAUGGAGUUGCUACCUUAUCAAAUGCAUCCCGGAUUGGUUUAUUCGUGUUAUCUAGAGUNGUAGCUGAAAUNAAUCAAGAACAUAGUUGUUNAUAAGACACCANGAUAACAUGUUGCGCUUGAACAUUUUGUAUUUUAUGAAUACGAGAAAACAUUUUGUUAAGCAUGCAUGGUGUACCUGUAGUCAUAAUAGCAGAUUUGAUAGCUGCGGGACUCCAGGUUGGAUGGUACGUUUUGAGAAGACCCGCAAUGCCAGCAACAUGAGGACAGGCCAUAGAGGUUCCUUGUUGCACAUUGAAAAGAGUCCUUCGUGUAUCUGAUGCAAGAUUAGAAGGACCCGCGGCUUGUGAAAAGGCAGCAAUUAUACCCACACCCGGACCAGUUAUGUC
rnacentral:lncRNA from 1 species